rnacentral:lncRNA from 1 species
CCAUUAUCUGAGAAACAAAACUAAAAGAAUUUGGGUUCAGCUCGCAGCUUCUCUGGGUGAGAACCCUCCCAGCCCGGUGCAGUGAGCAAUGGCUGUACAGGGCAGCAUGUCGGACUACAGUGAGGACUGCCACCCUAAACCCAGGCGACACUGGAAGGUCUAUGGGCUAGUGGUCGUGCUGCUGGUUGUGGUGCUGCUGGCUGCAGCCCUGCCUUCCUAUCUGUGCCUGGUGGCCACCAAACCAGAGCAAGAAACAGGGCUGGGGAUGGGGGCAGGGAGAAUGCCCAAUUUGGAGGGGCUGGCACAGCUGCUGGGGGUGCAGCAGCAGCUGAGGGUGCAGGUGGCUGCAUUGGAGCAAGCAUUGGUUGCCACCAACCAGACCCUCACCACCAUGGUGGAUAUCACCAACCCGUCCCUCGCUGAGAUACUCAAGAAGUGGGAUGACUGCAGGAGUCAAUUGGAUGCCAUGCAGAGCUUUGUUGCGGAUUUGGGGCAGCAGAUCUCCCAGCUGCAGCAGCAGAAGGAAAAGCAGGAGGCUGUGGUCAAGCAACUGCAAGAGGACAACAGGGCGCUCCAGGAGGAGGGGGCAAAGCAGAAGGAGCAGUUGGAGGAGGUGCAGAGGCACAGGAGCAGCUUCCAGGAGCAGAUCCAGGAGCAGAUCCACAAGCUGUCAGCACAGAUCUGGGACAUAUGGAGCAGCAGUUCCAGUGGGAGCACAGCGAUGCCCUCCAGCGCAGCCAUGGCCCUGAGCCUCCUCGUGACGCUGCUCUCUGCAAAGUGGCUGCACUGAGCACAGCAACACAGACCCGGGUGGCCUCUGUCAGUGUGGGGCCAUGGGGAAACCAGGGGGAGAUGGUUUGCCAAGCGCUGGCCCGAGGGGUGAGAUGGGACAAGGCACGUUCAGGGGACAGCGGUGCCACACGGUUCGGUGGGUCUAAACUGAUUUCCAAUAAAACCUCAUGCAAAUCCA